rnacentral:rRNA from 1 species
UAAGGAAUAUUGGGCAAUGGUCGGAAGACUGACCCAGCCAUGCCGCGUGCAGGAAGAAGGCGCUUAGCGUUGUAAACUGCUUUUGUCGGAGAAGAAAAUACCCCUGCGGGGGUGCCUGACGGUAUCCGACGAAUAAGCAUCGGCUAACUACGUGCCAGCAGCCGCGGUAAUACGUAGGAUGCAAGCGUUGUCCGGAUUUAUUGGGUUUAAAGGGUGCGUAGGUGGGGAAUUAAGUCGUGGGUGAAAGCUGGUAGCUCAACUAUCAAAAUGCCUGCGAUACUGGUUUUCUUGAAUACGGUGGAGGUAACUGGAAUGGGUGGUGUAGCGGUGAAAUGCAUAGAUACCAUCCGGAACACCAAUUGCGUAGGCAGGUUACUACGCCGUGAUUGACACUGAGGCACGAAAGCGUGGGGAUCAAACA